ACUGCUGUUCUGAACAGCAUUUUAACCUCUUUUCUUUUUCCACAGGUAUAAAUGACUGUCAGUAUUGCUCUGUGCUUCAUAAUCAUGCCCUGCUUCUAAAUUUCAGGUGUAAUCUUUCAAUAUGUUUGUUAUGGACUGCACCCUUGCCUGAUGCUGAUGAAAAGACCCCUGAUGUAGAAGUGAAAGCUUUGCCAUUUUGAGGAGCAAUAGCAAGAACAUGAGAUGAGACUUGAUCAUUUUC
rnacentral:lncRNA from 1 species